rnacentral:ncRNA from 1 species
AAAAAACUAUAUAUAAGAAUAUGAUGUUGGUUCAGAUUAAUCGCUAAAUAAGGACAUGACACAUGCGAAUCAUACGUUUAUUAUUGAAAAAAUAAUAAAUAUGUGGUGUAAACGUGAGUAAUUAUAAAAAAUAAAGAAUUAAAGAACUAUAGAAUAAGUUAAAUACUUAAUAAAAAUAUAUAUAUAUAUUAAUAAAAAGUAUUAUAUAAUAAUAAAAGGAUAUUAAUAAUAUUAAUAUUUAUCUAUAGUCAAGCUAAUAAUGGUUUAGGUAGUAGGUUUAAUAAAGGUUAACCUAGCCAACGAUCCAUAGUCGAUAAUGAAAGUUAGAACGAUCACGUUGACUCUGAAAUAUAGUCAAUAUCUAUAAGAUACAGCAGUGAGGAAUAUUGGACAAUGAUCGAAAGAUUGAUCCAGUUACUUAUUAGGAUGAUAUAUAAAAAAAAAUAAUAAAAAAUUAUUAUAAAAUAAUAAUAUAUAUAUAUUGAUUAAAAAUAAAAUCCAUAAAUAAUUAAAAUAAUGAUAUUAAUUACCAUAUAAUAAAAAAUAUGGAUAUAAAGAUUAUUAUUAUUUUUAAUUUCGUAAGGUAUUUUAAUAAUAAUAAUAAUUAAUAUAUUUUAAUAGUCCUGACUAAUAUUUGUGCCAGCAGUCGCGGUAACACAAAGAGGGCGAGCGUUAAUCAUAAUGGUUUAAAGGAUCCGUAGAAUGAAUUAAUAAAUAAUUUAGAGUUAAUAAUAAUUUUAAUUAAAGAAUUAUAAUAGUAAAGAUGAAAUAAUAAUAAUAAUUAUAAGACUAAUAUAUGUGAAAAUAUUAAUUAAAUAUUAACUGACAUUGAGGGAUUAAAACUAGAGUAGCGAAACGGAUUCGAUACCCGUGUAGUUCUAGUAGUAAACUAUGAAUACAAUUAUUUAUAAAGAAUAAAAAAUUAUAUAUAUAAAUAAUAAAUGAAAAUGAAAGUAUUCCACCUGAAGAGUACGUUAGCAAUAAUAAAACUCAAAACAAUAGACGGUUACAGACUUAAGCAGUGGAGCAUGUUAUUUAAUUCGAUAAUCCACGACUAACCUUACCAUAUUUUGAAUAUUAUAAUAAUUAUUAUAAUUAUUAUAUUACAGGCGUUACAUUGUUGUCUUUAGUUCGUGCUGCAAAGUUUUAGAUUAAGUUCAUAAACGAACAAAACUCCAUAUAUAUAAAUUAAAUUAUAUAUAAUUUUUAUAUUAUUUUUAUUAAUAUAAAGAAAGGAAUUAAGACAAAUCAUAAUGAUCCUUAUAAUAUGGGUAAUAGACGUGCUAUAAAAAAAUUAUAAUAAAAUUAUAAAAAAUAUUAAAAUAAAUAUUUAAUUAAUAAUAUAAAACAUUUUACUUUUUAAUAUAUUUUUAUAUUAUAUAUUAAUAUGAAUUAUAAUCUGAAAUUCGAUUAUAUGAAAAAAGAAUUGCUAGUAAUACGUAAAUUAGUAUGUUACGGUGAAUAUUCUAACUGUUUCGCACUAAUCACUCAUCACGCGUUGAAACAUCUUAUUAUCUUAUUAUAUAAUUAAUAUCUUAAUAAAAUUAAUAAAAUAUAAAUAAUAAAAUAAAUUAUUAUUAUUAUUAAUAUAUAUCAGAAAUAAUAUGAAUUAAUGCGAAGUUGAAAUACAGUUACCGUAGGGGAACCUGCGGUGGGCUUAUAAAUAUCUUAAAUAUUCUUACA